CCUACGGGAGGCAGCAGUGGGGAAUAUUGGGCAAUGGACGCAAGUCUGACCCAGCAACGCCGCGUGAAGGAAGAAGACUUUCGGGUUGUAAACUUCUUUUAAGGGGGAAGAGCAGAAGACGGUACCCCUUGAAUAAGCCACGGCUAACUACGUGCCAGCAGCCGCGGUAAUACGUAGGUGGCAAGCGUUGUCCGGAUUUACUGGGUGUAAAGGGCGUGCAGCCGGAGAGACAAGUCAGAUGUGAAAUCCACAGGCUCAACCUGUGAACUGCAUUUGAAACUGUUUCCCUUGAGUAUCGGAGAGGUCAUCGGAAUUCCUAGUGUAGCGGUGAAAUGCGUAGAUAUUAGGAAGAACACCGAUUGCGAAGGCAGCAUACCGGCGCUCAACUGACGCUCAUGCACGAAAGUGUGGGUAUCGAACAGGAUUAGAUACCCCAGUAGUC
rnacentral:rRNA from 1 species